GGAUGGGGAUGCGUCUGAUUAGCUUGUUGGCGGGGUAACGGCCCACCAAGGCAACGAUCAGUAGGGGUUCUGAGAGGAAGGUCCCCCACAUUGGAACUGAGACACGGUCCAAACUCCUACGGGAGGCAGCAGUGAGGAAUAUUGGUCAAUGGACGAGAGUCUGAACCAGCCAAGUAGCGUGCAGGAUGACGGCCCUAUGGGUUGUAAACUGCUUUUAUAAGGGAAUAAAGUGAGUCUCGUGAGACUUUUUGCAUGUACCUUAUGAAUAAGGACCGGCUAAUUCCGUGCCAGCAGCCGCGGUAAUACGGAAGGUCCGGGCGUUAUCCGGAUUUAUUGGGUUUAAAGGGAGCGUAGGCCGGAGAUUAAGCGUGUUGUGAAAUGUAGACGCUCAACGUCUGCACUGCAGCGCGAACUGGUUUCCUUGAGUACGCACAAAGUGGGCGGAAUUCGUGGUGUAGCGGUGAAAUGCUUAGAUAUCACGAAGAACUCCGAUUGCGAAGGCAGCUCACUGGAGCGCAACUGACGCUGAAGCUCGAAAGUGCGGGUAUCGAACAGGAUUAGAUACCCUGGUAGUCCGCACGGUAAACGAUGGAUGCCCGCUGUUGGUCUGAAUAGGUCA
rnacentral:rRNA from 1 species